rnacentral:misc_RNA from 1 species
GAUGAAGAACGUAGCGAAAUGCGAUAAGUAAUGUGAAUUGCAGAAUUCAGUGAAUCAUCGAAUCUUUGAACGCACAUUGCGCCCAUUAGUAUUCUAGUGGGCAUGCCUGUUCGAGCGUCAUUAAGUCCACUUAAGCCCUGCUUAGUGUUGGGAGACUGCUCCAGCGGUGCUACCCUGUAGCUACCCUGCAGCUCCUCAAAGACAGCGGCGGAGUUGUGGUAUCCUCUGAGCUUAGUAACUUGUUCUAGCUUUCGAGUGCACCACUUCCCCUGCCGUAAAACCCUUAAUUUUUAAUGGUUGACCUCGGAUCAGGUAGGAAUACCCGCUGAACUUAAGCAUAUCAAUAAGCGGAGGA